UACGUAGGGUCCGAGCGUUGUCCGGAAUUACUGGGCGUAAAGAGCUCGUAGGUGGUUUGUCGCGUUGUUCGUGAAAACUCACAGCUCAACUGUGGGCGUGCGGGCGAUACGGGCAGACUAGAGUUCGGUAGGGGAGACUGGAAUUCCUGGUGUAGCGGUGAAAUGCGCAGAUAUCAGGAGGAACACCGGUGGCGAAGGCGGGUCUCUGGGCCGAUACUGACGCUGAGGAGCGAAAGCGUGGGGAGCGAACAGG
rnacentral:rRNA from 1 species